UACGUAGGGUGCUAACGUUGUUCGGAAUUAUUGGGCGUAAAGCGCGUGUAGGUGGUUUUAUAAGUCAGAUGUGAAAUCCCUGGGCUUAACCGAGGAAGUGCAUCUGAAACUAUAUCGCUAGAGGGUGGUAGAGGGAGGUGGAAUUCCUAGUGUAGAGGUGAAAUUCGUAGAUACUAGGAGGAAUACCGGUGGCGAAGGCGGCCUCCUGGACCAUGCCUGACACUGAGACGCGAAAGCGUGGGGAGCAAACAGG
rnacentral:misc_RNA from 1 species